AUCACACGAAUCGGAUAUAACAAAGAAAUUAGAUUCACGUAAAAAUAGUUCGACUAUGUUAUAAUAGUUGGUCGAAAGCAGCAAGAAUUUGAUUAUGACUAAUCUGAGUUUUAAGAAGGAAUGGAGUUAUUAAUAUUUUCUUUUUCGAUUGUCUUUGUUCCUCUCAAAAAUAAGAAAAGCAAUUUUAAAAUGAUGGGAUCUAUUUCUAUGGCUGUAUGGAAAUGUACAAGGCCAGAAAUUUUGGGAGAGGGGUCAGUCGAUUAGAUCGACCCCCAUUGCGUAACUGGUACUUAAUUUAUCGACCCCGAAAGGAUGAAAGGCAAAGUCGACCUCAGCGGAAUUUGAACUCAGAACGUAAAGACAGACGAAAUGACGCUAAGCAUUUCGCCUGGCGUGCUAACGAUUAACCAGCUCGCCGCCUCACUGAAAGCUGUAGUAUUAAAGAAUAGAAGAUCAUAUUUUGCUAUACAAACAAUCAUUAAAUUGCAAUAUCAAGUGGACAAAACUGAGCAUUUUCGACACCACUUGCUUUUAGCAUUUAAUUGAGGAUUUAUCCCACCAAAACUGCUCGUGAGGUUUUGUUGUGUAUGGCGAAGAAGUAGUGCUUCAAAGUACUGCCCGCCGUUGGUUGUCGCACUUCAAGAAUGGGAAUUUUGACCUCAAGGACGGAUUACACACCGGUCAGCCAACUGAGUUCGAGGAAGAGCGAUUGAAUCAACUUCUUCACGAAUUCCAAGUCAAACAAUCGAAGAAUUGGCGAAGCUGAUGGAUUGUGAUUAAAACAAAUCUGUGGUAAACCACCUCAACAUACUGCCUUUUGCAAUGACGUGGGUUACAGCUGAUCCAACAGCCUGCUUACGAAAUUAACCUGCACGUGGCUGAGUACUCCUCAGACACGCAAUUUUGGAGGGAGGGGAUAAGUCCAUUACAUCAACUCCAGCGUUCAACUAGUACCUAUUUUGAUCGACUUCGAAAGGAUGAAAGCAAAAUUUACCUCGGCGGAAUUUGAACUCAGAACGUAAAGACAGACAAUAUGCCGCUAAGCAUUUUGUCCGGUGUAUUAGCGACUUUGCCUGCUCGUCGCCUUAAUUCUAAUAAUGACUGUUAAUAAAAUAUUGUUUUAGUGAUAGUAGUCAGGAUCUACCAAUCCACUGCCUUCACUCCAACGGUGUAUGAAAUACGAAAGAAAGCAAGGUCGUAUAUCUUGACGCCUGACCUCAAGAUACGUCGACAAUAAAUUAACUUCUUUAAAUUAUAUCGUUUUGCU